AUGGUUUUAAAGCCCUUCUCCAAAUCCCUCCUUGCCUUCUACCGCUUACUUCGCCGAAGGUUAGGGAAUCCGCUAGGCCAGUACCAUCACCUUCAAAGCUCGAGCGGCAUAUCUACCUGUCCUAAGAUCAUCCAGACAUGUUUGCGAGUGCCACAAGAUAAUGAACACCUCCGGAACAAAACUCUAGUCCUAGAUGUUGAAGGAGGUCUCCUGAGGUCUACAUCUACCUUCCCUUAUUUCAUGCUUAUUGCAAUAGAGGCAGGUAGUUUCCUAAGAGGCUUCAUCCUACUAUGCCUCUACCCUUUGCUAUGUUGCCUGCCUCAAGAAGUAGAAACAAAGAUCAUGGUCAUCGUGUGCUUCGUGGGGUUAAGGGAGGAGAAGGUGGUUAGGGUUGCGCGGGCUACUUUGCCCAAGUAUUUCCUAGAGGAUGUGGGGAGGGAAGGACUUGAGGUGGUGAGAGGGGUAAAGAGGGUGGCAGGGGUUUGUAGGUUGAUCCCUAGGGUUAUGGCGGAAGCAUUUCUUAAGGAGUAUACAGGAUUUGAAGUGGUUGUGGGAAGGGAGGUGAAGAUGAUAAGAGGGUGUUAUGUUGGUUUAUUGGGAAAGGAGAGUGAAGCAAGGCUAGGGCAGGCAAAGUUCGACCAAAACGAGAUGAUAGGGUUUGGAAGCAGCUCAAACUAUUUUGACUAUGAUCAUCACCAGCUUUUCUCUCGGUGCAAGGAAGUACACUUGGUGACACGAGAAGAUAAGAGAAAAUGGUCACCCUUGACAAGGGACCAGUACCCAAGACCCUUGAUCUUCCAUGAUGGCAGGCUAGCCUUUAGGCCUACCCCUCAAGCCACCCUAGCCAUGUUCAUGUGGCUCCCACUUGCCCUCCCUCUCACCGUGCUCCGAACACUAAUCUUUGUGAAACUACCAUAUUCUAUCUCCGUCGCAAUUGGGGCUGUAAUAGGAGUAACGACCCGGGUCAUCAACUCACCGGUCCACAUUGGUCAAGUGGGCUGUGAUGAACCACAUGCCCAGCCCAGCCCACAGGGCCACCUUUACGUGUGCAACCACCGCACACUUCUCGACCCGGUGUACAUCUCGGCAAUGCUGAACAAGCAGGUGUCAACCGUCACAUACAGUGUCAGCCGUGUAAGUGAGCUCCUAUCGCCAAUCGGGACUGUCCGGCUGACCCGAAACAGAGAUGAGGACCGGAGGAGGAUGGAGCAGUCACUGAGGCAGGGGGACCUGGUGGUCUGCCCUGAGGGGACCACAUGCCGGGAGCCAUACCUGCUCCGCUUCAGCCCUCUGUUUGUCGAACUCGUUGAUGAGGUCUACCCAGUGGCACUGGUGAACUGGUCCAGCAUGUUUCACGGCACCUCCACUGGCAAUUUCAAGUAUCUAGACCACUUCUACUACUUCAUGAACCCACGCCCAGCGUAUGAUGUUCAGUUCAUGGACAAGAUUCCAACAAGGAUGGCGAUCCAAGGGAAGAGAUGCGAGAGCAAAGAGGUGGCCAAUCUGGUGCAAGGUGAGAUUGGUAGGACUCUUGGGUUUCGAUCCACCACACUCACCCGUAAGGACAAGUACUUGAGGCUGGCAGGAAAUGAAGGGUUUGCUGAUACAAAGCAGUGA
rnacentral:rRNA from 1 species